GGUAAGAUGGCCGAGUAGGCAUUAGACUGUAAAUCUAAAGACAGAGG
rnacentral:tRNA from 1 species